AUUGAACGCUGGCGGCAGGCCUAACACAUGCAAGUCGGGCGAGCGGCGGACGGGUUAGUAAUGUAUGGCGAUCUGCCUGUUGGAGGGGGAUAACUACUGGAAACGGUAGCUAAUACCACAUCCCAUCAGAUGAACCCAUAUGGGAUUAGCUAGUAGGUGAGGUAACGGCUCACCUAGGCGACGAUCCCUAGCUGGUCUGGGCGGAUGAUCGUCCACACUGGGCCGAAGACACAGCCAAUACUCCUACGGAGGGCAGCAGUGGGGAAUAUUGCACAAUGGGCGCAAGCCUGAUGCCGCAAUGCCGCGGAUAUGAAGCAGACCUUCGGGUUGUAAAGUACUUUCAGUGUGGAGGCGUUACCGGCAGAAGAAGCAACGGCUAACUACGUGCCAGCCGCCGCGGUAAUAC
rnacentral:rRNA from 1 species